rnacentral:pre_miRNA from 1 species
GUUGUACUUCCUCCGUUCAGAAAUACUUGUCGCAUAAAUGUAUAAAAAUGGAUGUAUCUAGAAUUAAAAUACGUCUAGAUACAUCCAUUUCGCUGACAAGUAUUUUCGAACGGAGGGAGUAAUAU